rnacentral:rRNA from 1 species
CCGAAGUUAAGCGUGCUUGGGCGAGAGUAGUAUUAGGAUGGGUGACUUCCUGGGAAGUCCUCGUGUUGCGCCCCUGGG